UACGUAGGGGGCUAGCGUUGUCCGGAUUUAUUGGGCGUAAAGAGCUCGUAGGCGGUUUGGCAAGUCGGGUGUGAAAACUCCGGGCUCAACUCGGAGACGCCACUCGAUACUGCCAUGACUCGAGUCCGGUAGGGGAGUGCGGAAUUCCUGGUGUAGCGGUGAAAUGCGCAGAUAUCAGGAGGAACACCGGUGGCGAAGGCGGCACUCUGGGCCGGUACUGACGCUGAGGAGCGAAAGCGUGGGGAGCGAACAGG
rnacentral:rRNA from 1 species